AGGCAGCCCCCUUUUUGAUAAUCGAUGGAAAGGGAGGUGUUAAUCAGCUCGUAAAAUGGAUUCGUUUACGCUCUUCAGAUUUGCUGAAAUAUACUUACAUCUUGGAAGCUGGUCUAGUAAGCUUAAACACAAU
rfam:Solanum lycopersicum cultivar Heinz 1706 chromosome 12, whole genome shotgun sequence.